AAUUAUCAACCUUGAAGGCUUUGUUGUCUUCUAGGCUUGGAUGUGAGGGCUUGCUGGCUUCCUUCAGUGGAUUGGUCUGCUCCCUUCAAAUGCAUUAGUGGGAUCUCUUGCGGAACCGUCACUUGGUGUGAUAAUUAUCUACGCCGUUUGACUUGCAAUUGAGAGUCUUGCUUACAACCGUCUUCGGACAGCUAUUCAAC
rnacentral:misc_RNA from 1 species